GCUUCCGUGCUGAAUCUUGUUAAAACAAGGAAUUUUACGGAAAGACCCAAUUUUGUCCGGACGAUCAUCCACGCAGCAAUGGCGUAAGACGUAUUGAUCUUUCAGACAGUUAGCGGGCUGCGGGUUGCAGUCCUUACCGGUAGAUCGGAUCUUCUCUGGAGAGUAAUACCCAGGCGGUUCCCCUGAUAAUUGCGCUGCGUUUCCGUAUGAAAUGCAGGCAACCGACACUCUGCGCCUCUUUGAGCUGACGAUAACCGUGAGGUUGGCGACGCGAAUAGACACGAGGCCAUCGGUUCACACCCGGAAAGGCAAUACUCUGCCCGCAGCUUAGUCGUCAA
rnacentral:ncRNA from 1 species